GGGCGAUUAGCUCAGUGGGAGAGCACUGCCUUCACACGGCAGGGGUCGCUGGUUCGAGCCCAGCAUCGCCCACCA
rnacentral:tRNA from 1 species